AACCAUAGAAACCUGCGGAGUACCUGCGGAGGGAUCAUUCAUGAGGAGUCUGUGGAAGGUCUUUGGUCAAGGUCGUUGGAGUGCUUUGUUUUCUGUCUCGACAGAGAGCUAGUUGAAUUUUAGCUGGGAAGAUCGGAUCGAACAUGUCUUUGGACGAAAUGUGCAUUUGUCUGGGAUGUUGUCAGUGUGCAAAUUGUCCGGGGGCAGGUUGGUUUCGGCUUGGUUAUGAAUUCGAUUAAC
rnacentral:misc_RNA from 1 species